rnacentral:rRNA from 1 species
GACGAACGCUGGCGGCGUGCCUAAUACAUGCAAGUCGAGCGAGUCUGCCUUUAAGAUCGGAGUGCUUGCACUCUGUGAAACAAGAUACAGGCUAGCGGCGGACGGGUGAGUAACACGUGGGUAACCUGCCCAAGAGAUCGGGAUAACACCUGGAAACAGAUGCUAAUACCGGAUAACAACAGAUGAUGCCUAUCAACUGUUUAAAAGAUGGUUCUGCUAUCACUCUUGGAUGGACCUGCGGUGCAUUAGCUAGUUGGUAGGGUAACGGCCUACCAAGGCGAUGAUGCAUAGCCGAGUUGAGAGACUGAUCGGCCACAUUGGGACUGAGACACGGCCCAAACUCCUACGGGAGGCAGCAGUAGGGAAUCUUCCACAAUGGACGCAAGUCUGAUGGAGCAACGCCGCGUGAGUGAAGAAGGGUUUCGGCUCGUAAAGCUCUGUUGUUGGUGAAGAAGGACAGGGGUAGUAACUGACCUUUGUUUGACGGUAAUCAAUUAGAAAGUCACGGCCAACUAAGUG